AACGAACGCUGGCGGCAGGCUUAACACAUGCAAGUCGAGCGCCCCGCAAGGGGAGCGGCAGACGGGUGAGUAACGCGUGGGAAUCUACCUUUUGCUACGGAAUAACGCAGGGAAACUUGUGCUAAUACCGUAUGUGCCCUUCGGGGGAAAGAUUUAUCGGCAAAGGAUGAGCCCGCGUUGGAUUAGCUAGUUGGUGGGGUAAAGGCCUACCAAGGCGACGAUCCAUAGCUGGUCUGAGAGGAUGAUCAGCCACAUUGGGACUGAGACACGGCCCAAACUCCUACGGGAGGCAGCAGUGGGGAAUAUUGGACAAUGGGCGCAAGCCUGAUCCAGCCAUGCCGCGUGAGUGAUGAAGGCCUUAGGGUUGUAAAGCUCUUUCACCGGUGAAGAUAAUGACGGUAACCGGAGAAGAAGCCCCGGCUAACUUCGUGCCAGCCGCCGCAGUAAGAC
rnacentral:rRNA from 1 species